AGCGCUGGGCAGGGAGGCUGGAGGGGCAGUGAAGAGGGUGGUCGCGUCCUUCUGAGCAGUGAGAGGAUGAGCUGCCGGUGAAGGAGUUGUUCCCUGCUGCGGAGCGCGCUGGGCUUGCUGCUCCUCCCUCUCCCACCACUUAGAUAGGCUGCUGACAGAGGGUUCCAGUCCUUGGAUCCGUAGCAAUUAGCAGGGCAAUAAAAAUGUCAGCCUGACAUGCUCAGGUGGAAAACGACGUGGAAAGUACAAUGGCGUGUGGUUAACUCCGCGUUCUGUGGCGAGAGAACAAGCGGCUGAGCACGUGGAGCCUGGAGCAGGGUGGCAUCGCAAGGAAUGAGGUGUCACCCACCGCACGUUGGCUUGAUAGGACAUUCCUUGUUUCCUGUCGGUUCCAAGUGCACCUCUUAAUGAUGCAACGUUUUGAUCCUUGCUAUUCGGCCUUCCAAAUACAAAUCGAGUAGUUGCAUCAUCUGCCCAUGAAUAUCAGAGUGAGAACUCGCAAACGUUCAGAUGAUCAAAUGUGAGCGCCGUGAGGCACCGCUCUGCGUUAGUGCCUCAGUCAGAGCACAGACUGAAGUGGAGCGGAAUUGCCAACCUCCUGACUUCACUGCCAGGAAUGUAAAUCAACAUUAAAGAUGAUUUUUAAGUGAAAUAGCAAGUUAAACAUUUGUACAAACACAUCAUCAAAUAGAGGUUGUACUGCCUCUUUCUAAACCUCUUGCCUGCUGGCAAAAAUAAAACUGUUCCAGUGACAUUUUCUCUGCUCUGCUGUGACAAGGGCUGCAUAAAUAUAGACACCGUGGAUUAGAAUAGACUUCAGCAAUCUCCAGCUUCCUUUCUAGCAGCCUCUUCUGCAGUUUCCCAUAGCUAUGGGUGAAAAACAGGGAGCCUGAAAUGGGGUGAAUCCUCUGUUACUACCAGGAGCUGAGGAGGUUGCUGCUCUUUGCCAAGAAAGUGUGGUCAGGUUGCUGGCACACAUGGGGCAGGCAAGGACUGGUAUCCAGGGCCAGCAGGGGUGAUGCUUCCUCAUGUGUGCAUGGCACUUCAAGAUUUGGGAUCCUAUGGGCCUCAAGAACAGCUUUUCUCUGGGUGCAUUUCACUUCUCAUGAGCAGGCAGCUGAAAAAUUGGACUCACAUGGGAUACGUGUGGAAAGCAGAACAAUAUGCCAAGACAAGAUGAAACAGAUGUUUCAGGUCUACAUUAUAAUUCAGACAGAAAUUUAAAUCAGCUGAAGACAUCAGAACAAAAUGCUUUUUGUGACCUAGAGAUCCGCAGUCCUGGAAGGUACUUGUGUGGGCACAGCCCCAAGAGAAAGGCGAGUUUCUUACCACGUUCCUGCACACCAAUCAGAUGCAGUGUUGCCCAGGUACGUCAGCCAACCUGGGCUUGUGCAAGAAGCUUGCUGGGGGUGUGUGUUUGCAUACCAUGUACUCACACAAGAUUUCACAAACUCUGUGCUGCUUAUGACUAGCCCUCACCACUGAGGCUCCUUGCCCUCCUUUUGCAUGUUUGAAACGCUGUUUUCCCCAUUAGGUCCCCUCAAGGGCAAGGCACCCACACCAGCAAUCUGACCGCCCUACUUGAUGCUAAAGUGAUGAAAGAGUGUGGAGUGGAUGGGGCCUUUUUUACUCUUUUUUACUGAGGAAAAAAGUGAACUCAAUGCCAGGCACGGAUCCCAGGCUGCGGAGUUCAAAUCGUACUCUGAGCACAUAAUUCCCAUUUGUGUUUGUGUGCACGCAGGGCGAGGGUGGGAGCUGGAGGGGGGGGGGUGAAUA